rnacentral:rRNA from 1 species
CCCAGACUCCUACGGGAGGCAGCAGUGGGGGAUAUUGCACAAUGGGGGGAACCCUGAUGCAGCGACGCCGCGUGGGUGAAGGAGCGUUUCGGCGCGUAAAGCCCUCUCGGCAGGGAAGAAGGAGGACGGUACCUGACUAAGAAGCCCCGGCUAACUACGUGCCAGCAGCCGCGGUAAUACGUAGGGGGCAAGCGUUAUCCGGAUUUACUGGGUGUAAAGGGGGCGCAGACGGCAGCGCAAGCCAGGAGUGAAAGCCCGGGGCCCAACCCCGGGACUGCUCUUGGAACUGCGCGGCUGGAGUGCAGGAGGGGCAGGCGGAAUUCCUGGUGUAGCGGUGAAAUGCGUAGAUAUCAGGAGGAACACCGGUGGCGAAGGCGGCCUGCUGGACUGCGACUGACGUUGAGGCCCGAAAGCGUGGGGAGCAAACAGGAUUAGAUACCCGAGUAA